rnacentral:rRNA from 1 species
AUGCCGUGUUCAUGCGGUCGGUCGAAGGUCGAGCAGAGGUUGCUCCUGGUUCGUUUGAAUGUCGUCUGCUUCUUCGAGACCGUGGUUCUUGCCUCGAUGUUCGGGGAGCGGGCCCGGCUUCGGAUUCGUCGGCGGCCAGUUCACCGCCGCUUUUACCCCACCCGUGGGAAGCCAGGUUGUUCCUGCUCCCCGGCGGCGCCGAUUCAGCCAGCACAUCCCACGAACUCGUUUAAUUGGAGUCAACAAACAACGCAUGCCAAUGUCUCCACGAGACUUCUUUCUUUCUUCUUUUUCAUAGCCGCACACUGUCGAGACGCACAUCUCACCCUCGUUUGUUUUUGUUUUUUAGGCUGCUUGUUUCUAGUAUAA